UACGGAGGGUGCGAACGUUACUCGGAAUCACUGGGCGUAAAGCGCGCGUAGGCGGUUCGUUAAGUGGGAUGUGAAAUCCCCGGGCUUAACCUGGGAAUUGCAUUUCAAACUGGCCGACUAGAGUACGGUAGAGGGAGGUAGAAUUUCCUGUGUAGCGGUGAAAUGCGUAGAUAUAGGAAGGAAUACCAGUGGCGAAGGCGGCCUCCUGGAUCGAUACUGACGCUGAGGCGCGAAAGCGUGGGGAGCAAGCAGG
rnacentral:rRNA from 1 species